AGUGAAUAUCCUUGUUCUUAGAAAAAAAUAUAUCAAAAUAUUUAGGAGUGAAAGGGUAUGAUAGCAGGAACUUACUUUCAAAUCAUGAAAAAAGUACAUAAUCUAUACAUAGAAAGUGGGAGCAUUAAAGCAUAUGUGGCAAAAUGCUGACAGCUGGCGAAUCUAGGUAAAGGGUAUUCAGGAGGUCUUUGCCCUAUUUCUGCCACUUUUCUCUUAUUUUAAAAUUAUUUCACAAUUAAACUUCUUGACUUAGACAUUCAAGAGGAAGGAUAAAGUAAAAAAUUUGAAAAGAUCAUAAAUAAUAGGGGCUUAAAGAAAUGGAGGCUUCAAAUGUUUGCCUUAUAUGCUAGAAUUUGAAUCCACAAGUAAAACUCUGGGGAGGGGGGGAAUGAGGUUUUUUAUUUUUUUAUUUUUAUUUUUUGGUCUUUUCUAGGGCCACUCCCACAGCAUAUGGAGGGUGUGACCCUAAAAAGGACAAAAGACAAACAUUAAUUAAUUAAUUUUAAAAAAGAUAAGUGGGAACUCAAAGAAAGAAGAAAAUCAAGGAGCAAGAAUUAAUGGAAAAAAAUCAAAAUAACAACUGUUGCUAAGCCAUUCUUUUGAUUUUAUUAUUACUAAAUAGAUGUCUACUUGACAUAGACAUCUAAGAAGUAAAGCAGCAGUGUGGCAGAAUGGAAAGAGCAUGGAAUUUUUUUUUCGUUUUAAACACAGACUCAGUCUCAGCUCUGAUAUUUAUUACUUGUGUGACCUCGAACAAAGGAUUUAACCUCUUUGAGCCUCAGUGUCCUCAUUUGAAAAAUAGGUAUGUAGAAUUUUUCAGGGUUAGGGUAGAAGUAAAUUGGAUACAUUGUAUCAAAGUGACAAGCACCAGAUCCACCAAGUCAAUGUAACAAAUGCCUUCUACUGAACACUCCCAGCCAAGGAGAAAAUUCAGUAUUAAAUAUUUUCUAGAUUGCCUUAUGACUUAUUAAAAUAUAACAAAAAAAUUGAAGUUUUUCCAUCCAAAAUACUUGCUAAAUUUUAGAAAGCCGCUAUAUCUACCUAAGGCAGAUCCUGUUACCUAUCAUGUUCCUCUUCUUCCUUGGAAGAAGUUGAAGGUGGCAACCUGCCCAACUAAAAAUACUAUAUUCUUGGCCUUCCUCUCAGAUGGGGUUGACUAUGAUAUAAUUCUGACCAAUGAAAUAUAAGCAGACAUUGUUGGGCUGGGCUACCAGAUUCAGCUAGUAAAUAUCAUUUUCCCACAUCUCCCCAUUUCUUCAUUUCCAGAGUAUGGUUGUCAUGGCUAGAGCUCCUUGUCUCCAUGCAUCUGCUUCAUUACUAUAUUCAGUGUUCAACACAGGAUUAUAUGUCAUAAGGGCUGGGCUACUGAGCAGCACUGUGUUACUCAUGCAAACAAAGAGAAAUUAACAGGAUGUUACUAUUUCAACACACUGUUAAGAGGUGAUCAACAGAAAAUACUUCUUAGCCACAUUAAUUGAGUUUGAUAGGACAAAACAUAGUUUUCUUUAGUAUUCCCUUUAUAUCUUCUCACCAGAGCUCAGCAUAAACUGCAACCUCUAAAUGUUACCUAAACAACAAAUGCUUGAAAUAGAGCCAAAGUGCAUGAAUAACUUGAGCAAAUUUACAUUAAACAUCACUGGGCCUCAAUUUCUUCAUCUGUAAAAUAGCCGUCGUACUUCUACUUAAUUAAAUGAGUCAAGACAAGGAAAAUAAUUAGGACACUGCCUAACAAGAGGUAAAGUACUCAAUCAAUGUUAAGGGAAAAAGUGGUUUAUUGACUUCUGACAAAUUAAAGUUUCUUCCUCCAAAAUAAAUACAUAAUUCACAUGGAGUGGAAGUAAUAAAUAGCACAACAUAAAUACAAUUUUAAAGCAGAAAAAAAGUGAUUAAUUGUGGUUAGGAAAAACUCUUCUAAAAUCAACAGGAGUAGGCAAUAACUUCAUUCAUUACUUUACCUUUCUAUCCCGCAUUUACUGAAUACCCACUGAGGGUGAAAACACUAAUGCAGGCACUGGAGACCUCCUAGCAGAUGAAGGUUAAGCAUAAACCUUCAAGGGUAAUUUAGCUUAAAUAAAAUUACAUUAUGAUAAAUGUAAUAAAAAUAAAUGGGACUACGAUAGAGAUCUGCAUUCAAUUAAAAAUGAAAAAGUAUGGGAGUU
rnacentral:lncRNA from 1 species